UACCACAGUCAUAUCACCCUGCAGCCCAAGACCGUCUAAUUACUGAAGCUAAGCAGGGCUGCGCCUGGUCAGUACCUGGAUUAGAGACCACAUGGGAAAACUAGGUUGCUGUUGGAA
ensembl:rRNA 5S_rRNA 5S ribosomal RNA